rnacentral:sRNA from 1 species
AAAGAUAAUAAUCUAUACUAGUAUUCUAGAUCUAUAAAUAAUCAUAGUCACCGUGAUAGUGCCCUUUUUAGUCAAUGUAGUCAAGUCAAGAUAGUGGAACGUAAACUCGAAGGUUUAAUACAAUACAGUAUAAGUAGAGUCUAUGACCUUCUAGACUAGAUCUAGCAUCUCUAGCUAGACUCUAACUUGUAGUUUGUAGAUCUUGGAAUUGGAUCGAAAUUCACCUUCC